ACGGGGGGCCUACGGGAGGCAGCAGUAGGGAAUCAUCCGCAAAGGGCGAAAGCCUGACCGAGCAACGCCGCGUGAGUGAUGAAGGGUUUCGGCUCGUAAAACUCUGUUAUUAGGGAAGAACAAAUGUGUAAGAAACUGUGCACAUCUUGACGGUCCCUAAUCAGAAAGCCACGGCUAACUACGUGCCAGCAGCCGCGGUAAU
rnacentral:rRNA from 1 species